CUGGCGCGCAUCUUCGCGUUGAGCGGCUACAACACCGUGCUGGUCGCGCGCCGCGACGAUCGUCUCAAGCUGCUUGCCGACGAAAUCGCCGCGGCUGGACAUCCGCGGCCGGGCAUCAUNCCUGCGACCUGAAUGAGCCCGACGCCUGCGAGCGCAUCGUCGCAUCGCUCAAGGCCAUGAAUGUCGAGGUCGAGACCGUGGUCAACAACGCCGGCUACGGCCUGUUCGGUGAAGCUGCCGAUCUCGACCGUGCGCAGCAGCUGGCGAUGGUCAAUCUCAAUGU
rnacentral:misc_RNA from 1 species